GACGAACGCUGGCGGCGUGCCUAACACAUGCAAGUCGAACGAAGCACCUCACCUGAUUCUUCGGGUGCAAGUUUGGAAACUGAGUGUCGGACGGGAGAGUAACGCGCGGGAAAUUUGCCCUGCACAGGGGGAUAACAGCUGGAAACGGCUGCUAAUACCGCAUAAGCGCACGAGGAGAGAUAUCCUUGUGUGAAAAAGUUCGGCGGUACAGGAUGGGCCCGCGUCUGAUUAGCUGGUUGGAAGGGUAACGGCCUACCAAGGCAACGAUCAGUAGCCGGCCUGAGAGGAUGAACGGCCACAUUUGAACUGAGACACAGUCCAAACUCCUACGGGAGGCAGCAGUGGGGAAUAUUGCACAAUGGGGGAAACCCUGAUGCAGCAACGCCGCGUGAGUGAAGAAGUAGUUCGGUAUGUAAAGCUCUAUCAGCAGGGAAGAUAAUGACGGUACCUGACUAAGAAGCACCGGCUAAAUACGUG
rnacentral:rRNA from 1 species